rnacentral:rRNA from 1 species
GACGAACGCUGGCGGCGUGCUUAACACAUGCAAGUCGAACGGAAAGGCCCUGCUUUUGUGGGGUGCUCGAGUGGCGAACGGGUGAGUAACACGUGAGUAACCUGCCCUUGACUUUGGGAUAACUUCAGGAAACUGGGGCUAAUACCGGAUAGGAGCUCCUGCUGCAUGGUGGGGGUUGGAAAGUUUCGGCGGUUGGGGAUGGACUCGCGGCUUAUCAGCUUGUUGGUGGGGUAGUGGCUUACCAAGGCUUUGAUGGGUAGCCGACCUGAGAGGGUGAUCGGCCACACGGGACAUGAGACACGGUCCAGAGGACUAAGGGAGGCAGGAGUAGGGAAUCUGCCGCAAUGGGCGAAAGCCGGACGGAGCAACGCCGCGUGAGUGAGGAAGGUCAUCGGAUCGUAAAACUCUGGUAUUAGGGAAGAACAUAUGUGUAAGUAACUGUGCACAUCUUGACGGGACGUAAUCAGAAAGCCAAGGCUAAAUACGUG